GACGAACGCUGGCGGCGUGCUUAACACAUGCAAGUCGAACGGAAAGGCCCCUUUGGGGGUACUCGAGUGGCGAACGGGUGAGUAACACGUGAGUAACCUGCCCUUGACUUCGGGAUAACUUCAGGAAACUGGGGCUAAUACCGGAUAGGAAUCCUUGCUGCAUGGUGGGGGUUGGAAAGCUUCGGCGGUUUUGGAUGGACUCGCGGCCUAUCAGCUUGUUGGUGGGGUAGUGGCUUACCAAGGCUUUGACGGGUAGCCGGCCUGAGAGGGCGACCGGCCACACUGGGACCUAGGUGAGGCCCCGGUCGCGAAGGGAGGACAGCGGGGGGAAUACUGGUCCAGGGGUGGGAGGCCUGUGAAGAAAGGCCGCGGACGGGAAUGCCGGCUUCGGGUUGUAAACCGCUUUCAGCAGGGGCGAAGCUUGUGGUGACGGUACCUGCAGAAGAAGCACCGGCUAACUACGUG
rnacentral:rRNA from 1 species